UCCUGAUGGCCCAAUGGAUGUUAUCCAUUUAUCUUUUGCAAUCCUCGAGAUUUUUCUUUGGCUCCAAAGCUGGACAUGCUUAUUCUGAACGUAUAUAUGGUGAUAUCACAUUUUCUAAAAAAUAUAUAUGGUGAUAUCAGGUUAUUGUCGUAAAGCGGCAGUAGUACAUGAUUUAUGCAUAAUUUGGGAGGAACAUAGUCGACUGGAUCAUGGAGAUAGACAGCUGCCAACUGUGUCAUCUUGACUCCUACGUGCACUGAAAAAUUCCAGGCGAUUCCGUAACUGAAAAACUCACAUGGAACAAGAUGCAGGCUGAACUACUCUGUGUUUUUUGCACCCCUUGAGGCUCACGACAAUCAGUAAAUUGUUUCUUGAAGAUUAAUCUGUCUUGUUCUUUAAAUAUCUGCAAGAUCGUGCGUUGGGGCGCAAGUCUUGUCUGCACAGCUUGCCAUGCUGAGUAGUGAGUAGGGAACACUACUUAUCUGUUUUCCUCUUCACAGCUACUACGUACUAAUGAACUAUUUUUCUUUUGUUUCUUCCAGUUUCAGAUAUUGUCACAUCUCUCAGAAAGUGAGAUGCCGGUCUGCAGGUGCACACUGGAAGGAACCCUGCAACGACUUUACUAGAAACAACGACGGCCCCACACACUCCUCCACUGGGCCGGAGCAAUGAUCCUCUCCUCUCCGUCCAUUCAUUACUACACGCGCCGUCCAGGCACUUGCCAAGAAGAUGGUGGCAGUUGUUGGUGAUAAGCCGUCGCCGAUCGAUAUGGUAUCCUCCGUGGGGUCUAAUAAUCCCCUGCCUAGCU
rnacentral:lncRNA from 1 species